CGACGACAGGGUUGUGGCUAGAUAGCUAGGCGUGGUUGUUAUGGAUUUUUUCUUGGAGAUAGGCAAUGGAUGGUAGAACAAGAAAUUAAAGAGGCCACCUUGCUCACUCAUAUCUUUAGCAUUUUUAGUUGAAGAAGUAGGAGGAGUGAAUAGAUUUUUGGAGUGGGGACUGUGGCUAUAGCUUAACGUACUUAUUGGGACCAAAAAGCAAAUCAGCCAACGGACUGGGAAAUUAUAGGAAUGUCCUCAAAGUUGAAGGGUGGACCAAGGGGCAGUGGCGCAUGCUAGGUAUG
rnacentral:misc_RNA from 1 species